rnacentral:rRNA from 1 species
AAAAUGCGAUACUUGGUGUGAAUUGCAGAAUCCCGUGAACCAUUGAGUUUUUGAACGCAAGUUGCGCCCGAAGCCAUUCGGCCGAGGGCACGUCUGCCUGGGCGUCACGC